rnacentral:misc_RNA from 1 species
AUGCGGGUAGAUAUUCAAUGUCUACGUGGAUUGGCAAUAUUAUUUGUGUUUCUAUUUCAUUUAUUCCCAUUUACUUUUGUCAAUGGAUAUUUAGGAGUUGAUAUAUUCUUUGUGAUAUCGGGGUACCUGAUGGCUCGGAACUUGACACAUUCAAAAAUUCAAAACGUCUGGGACAUUUUCAAAUUCUACUACCGUCGAUUUCGUCGGAUACUUCCACUUUACUAUUUAUUUAUUCCUGUAACUCUUGUAUUUGUUCAUUUAUUUCUUGGAGAAUUUUGGUGGGGUGUCAAUAGAAGAUACUCUGUUGGAGCAUUUUUCUUGGUUUCAAAUCAAGUGUUCAUUCACGAUGCUCAUCAAUAUUUUCAUCAGUACCUGGCAGAUGGAACAUCAAUAAAUGCUUUCAUUCAUACAUGGUCCCUGGGAGUUGAAAUGCAAUUCUACUUACUUGUUCCAUUCAUUAUGUUUGGACUUCAAUUCCUCAAUAGUCCACUUCUAAAAUUGAUUGCUGUAAUUCUCACAACAUUCAUUGGAAUGUGGGCUUUUUUGCUGAUCAAUGCACAGUUUUCUUUCAAUUUCAUGUUCCUACGUCUAUGGCAAUUUUCCGCAGGAUUCACUGCCCUGUUUUGGCGGGAUUUUGAAAAAUGUGAGAAAGCGAAGAGCACUAUGAAAAUCGGGCAAGAACCAUCCAGUACCUAUCAAUUUCUGCGCAAGGAUGAUGUUGCAAUUUGCACCAUAGCAAUACUGUUUCUAUGUAUUCUACCAGCUAAAUUGGAUGAAAUUUAUCUUCGCCCGCUGAUCACUUUAACAGCGGCUUAUUUAUUCUACUUGGAGGACAGCAGUUGUAAACUACUUAGAUCCACGUUCUUAAAAUAUAUGGGUGACAUCUCCUACGUUUUGUAUCUAGUUCACUGGCCAGUUAUUACAUUUUUCAAGAGCACAACUGUUACAAGUAAUAUAUUUUGUAUUGUUCUCACAUUUAUCAUCACCAUAAUUGUUCAUCACUUCUUCGAGAAGCAAUAUCUUAAAUUUGAUUUCAAAUCAAUCAUAUUGUUGCUUACUUUCCUUCUGGCUGUCAAUGCCUUUGUCCAAUGGAGUACCAGAGAACAUCAGUUCUGGAAACCUACCUAUAUACCUAGAACUCAAAAAAUUGUGGAAGAAAACUUGGCAAUGCUCCCAUUUAUUUCUGCAUAUGAACCAAGAAAAGACAAGUGCGUGGAAACAAGUUUUCAGGAACUUGUUGACAAUGGAUAUGUAUUUGAUUACUAAGGCAAACGGAAACCUCUCUGUAAUGGCGCUUGGUAACAGUUAUGUGCUCAAUUUCAAUGACCAUAUUAGAUCCCAAUUCAAUUACAACUAUUCAGAAUGGAGAUCUUUGUUCGUCAGAGAUAGUUUCGGAUUUUUUUAUGAUGGCGAGGCUGCCGCGUUACGCGGAUCUCACAGUAAAUCAUCACUGGUUACAAUGAGAAACCUAGUACAACUACACAAGCCAGAUAUACUGUUUCUCAUUUCUAGGUACUCAGACUAUGUGAAGGGUCCAAUUUUGAAUGAAGAAACCGAUAGAACUCUGGAAAAAAUGAAUAACAAUAUUGCGUUUUAUGAAAAAUAUGUUCAGAAAAUCUAUAUCCUCGCACCACAUCCCCUGUAUCCUUUGAAUUUCAUGAAUUCAUUCCUGCAGUAUGUUACCAGAAAACCGAGAGAACUAGAAACUCUCCAUCUAAAGAAAGAUGAGGUGGAUGAAGAAUGGAUGUAUGCAAGGGAACGGUUCAGUCUGAUUAAAUGUAAAAAGUGCAAGGUGUUCGAUCUCGGUGAGGUUUUUCUUGAUAAUGAAAAGUAUUUGACAUUUGAUCGGCAAACCAAACUUUCCUACGUGGAUAACGGCAUUCAUUUGACUGGUCCAGCAGUGAAAAAAUGUGAUCCUGUGUUCAAAAAUAUAGCAACGGAAGUGAUGAUGACUGUGAAAAGAAGAUGA